CUUCCCCCUGGGUGGGGCAGCAAGCCCCAAUAAAAAGGUCCUCUGCUGCACGACUGCCAUCCUCCCGCUCCUCGAGUCCCGGUGACUUUGGAGAAAGUGAUUCUAAGACUCCAGAAAGAUGUCUUAUCAACAGCAGCAGUGCAAGCAGCCCUGCCAUCCACCUCCAGUGUGCCCACCAAAGUGCCCUGAGCCUUGCCCACCUAUAAAGUGUCCAGAGCCUUGCCCACCUAUAAAGUGUCCAGAGCCUUGCCCACCUAUAAAGUGUCCUGAUCCAUGCCCACCUCAGCAGUGCCAGCAGAAAUGCCCUCCUGUGCCACCUCCCCAACCAUGCGAUCCGAAGUGCCCACCCAAGUGCAAGUAACUGCUGCAGGUUCCAUCUGGAUCAGGAAAGGAUAAGGACAAUUGGCUCACCUAGUUCCCCAGCUCCACCUUCAUCUUCUCUUCAAAGCACAUCAUGGAUACAAAAGAAUCUUCUCCACCCUUUGGCCUGCCAUAUGCCUGUGGUGAUGCUGACAGCCCGAGGUUUCCUUCCUGAGGUGGCUGUACUGCUUACCCCAGGAGGUAGCUGAGAAAGCAUGACAGAGCUUCAGAAGGAAGAGCAGCAGCUCUCCUCCUGGGUGCCAUCAGAGGAUUCUCUCCCUGUCUUCAGUAUCUGUCUGCCAGCUGGGCAGGGGUUUCUACCAGCUGAGCCAUUGUUACUUAUCUUCCAUUUUCUGAUUAAACUACAAUCUCUUUGUG